ACUCCUACGGGAGGCAGCAGUGGGGAAUAUUGCACAAUGGGCGCAAGCCUGAUGCAGCCAUGCCGCGUGUGUGAAGAAGGCCUUCGGGUUGUAAAGCACUUUCAGUCGUGAGGAAGGUAGUGUAGUUAAUAGCUGCAUUAUUUGACGUUAGCGACAGAAGAAGCACCGGCUAACUCCGUGCCAGCAGCCGCGGUAAUACGGAGGGUGCGAGCGUUAAUCGGAAUUACUGGGCGUAAAGCGCAUGCAGGCGGCCUGUUAAGUCAGAUGUGAAAGCCCGGGGCUUAACCUCGGAAUUGCAUUUGAAACUGGCAGGCUAGAGUCUUGUAGAGGGGGGUAGAAUUUCAGGUGUAGCGGUGAAAUGCGUAGAGAUCUGAAGGAAUACCGGUGGCGAAGGCGGCCCCCUGGACAGAUACUGACACUCAGAUGCGAAAGCGUGGGUAGCAAACAGGAUUAGAUACCCU
rnacentral:rRNA from 1 species